GGGCCGUUAGCUCAGUUGGCAGAGCAGCUGACUCUUAAUCAGUAGGUCCGGGGUUCGAAUCCCUGACGGCCCACCA
rnacentral:tRNA from 1 species